CCUACGGGUGGCAGCAGUGGGGAAUAUUGCACAAUGGGGGAAAGCCUGAUGCAGCGACGCCGCGUGGGGGAGGAAGGACUUCGGAAUGUAAAGCCCUGUCAGCAGGGAAGAAAGUGACGGUACCUGACUAAGAAGCACCUGCUAACUACGGGCCAGCAGCCGCGGUAAUACGUAGGGGGCGAGCGUUAGCCGGAUGUACUGGGUGUAAAGGGAGCGUAGACGGCGUGCCAAGUCUGGUGUGAAAGGCCGGGGCUCAACCCCGGGACUGCAUUGGAAACUGGCAUGCUGGAGUGCCGGAGGGGCAAGCGGAAUUCCUGGUGUAGCGGUGAAAUGCGUAGAUAUUAGGAGGAACAUCGGUGGCGAAGGCGGCUUGCUGGCCCGUAACUGACGUUGAGGCUCGAAAGCGUGGGGAGCAAACAGGAUUAGAUACCCUAGUAGUC
rnacentral:rRNA from 1 species